rnacentral:lncRNA from 1 species
CGUGGAGAGAGGCGGGUGCUGGCUCAAACCCACCCCAGUGACCCCAUGCAGCAGUAUUGUCCCCACAGGGACUCUUUGGUGACAUCUUUUCACUAAUGUAGCUCCAAAAUCACCAAAUAUGCUUUUUUUUUUUUUUUUUUUUUUUUUCCCAGGAGACACUCCAGACCAACCUGGUUUUUCUACAAAAAGAGAAAGAAGAAUUUAAGCCCCAAGGAGAAAAGCAGAGCGAUGGCCUGCUGGUGUGUGGUUCCCUCCCCGUGCGCACGCCGUGCCCCCCUCUCCACUUACCCCCCAUCUUCACAGGCGCGUCCCGUAUUUCCCUCUCCCCAUAUAUAUUUGUCUCCUUUUCCAUAACAACACAAUUCUCUCUCUCUUUCUCUCUCUCCAUCCUGUCUUUCCUUCUUCCACCCUGCUUUCAUUCAGACUCUGCUGUCAUCCUGGCUCUGUCAACAUCCAGACUUGCCACCCCUCUCUCCCCCAACUCUGCUCUUCCAGCUUUUCCUCCUCAAAAACUCUCCUCCUUUUCCCCACCAUCCUUGCCCCCCACCUCUCCCUGGUGCCGGGUCCCCGUGGCCGGAGGACGGGCUGGCUCAGUGGCCCCCCGUGCGGGUACCUUGCAGGAGAAGGUGGCCUCGGAGAAGCAGAGGCUGAGGGACACCUUCAAGGAGCUGCGGCAGUUCCUGCAGGAGCAGGAGGGUCUCCUGCUGGCCCAGCUCGACCAGGCGCAUGGGGACCUCACCAAGGAGCGCAGCCAAUACGUCUCCAGCAUUUCGGAGAGGAAAUCACUGCUGGACACACUGGUUGUGGAGAUAGAGAAGAAACGUGACCAGCCGGUGGUGGAAUUCCUUAUGGUGAGGGCUGCAUCACCCACCUGGGUGCUGUGACUGGGAGCGACUGUCACUCACUGCCCCGGGGACUGUGGGUCCUUCUCGGGGGUCCCAGAGCUGAACUGGAGUUUUCUCUCUUUCAGGACAUUGACAAAACCCUGAGCAGGUAUGGAAUGGGCUCGGCAUCACUCUCCUCCCGUGGGCAGAGGUUUGGAAACGCUCAGCAGCAACCCCGAGGGAGGUGGCUUUGCCCUGCUGAGUAUUUGGGAUUUCUCUGGAGGCAGAGCUUGUUGCUCCUCCAUUAAAGAUGGGGUUCCCGUGCCAAUAGCUGGGACACAGCUCCCCCAAGUUGCUGUAGGGGGUUGUCCCCCCAUUUCCCUCCUGGCUGCUGGGGUCAGAGCUCCUCUCAGUGUUGUUUCCCCCCACAGCUGCGAGGCAGCAAAGGCCCCGAUCCCGGAGCCGGUGUCCCCGGAGCUGCAGAGGACCGUUAAGAACCUCUCUGAGAUGAGCCAGCUGGUGGUGGGUGCAGUGGGCAAAUUCAAAGUGAACCUGCUGAGAGAGACAGACAGAGAAAGGGGUGAGUUUCUGCAGCUGCUGGGCACAAACGAGGGAGAAAAGCUUUCCAGAACGAUUUUCCUUAUGUCCUUGGUUUAGAGAUGGACUCGCACCACAAUAUCUAAAUCUGGGUGCCUUUGUUUUGACUGGGCCUGCUAUAAAAAUCCAGUCUGUCCCCAUGCCAGGCAACGCCCAGUGACACUGUCCUCUUAACACCAAACGAGGGCCGGGACAGUGCGAGGCCCUCGGCGUUCCUGUCCCUGGAGACUUUAGCUUCUUUCUCUGAGAUGUGUAAGACUGUGACUAGUUAAGGAAAGGGGCCGUAUGCAUUUUGAGCUGGCAAAGAUCGGAAAUCCUUUUGCAGAUGCCCGGGGUCCUUGCGGUCCUGGCAGCGUGGCAGGGCUGGGGGCUGGUGGGCACCAGUGGGGCUGAGGCCGGUCUCCCAGUCUCUGCCCUCUCGCUGUUCGGGAUGAGGGACCUGGUGCACAGGAUGAGCAUGCCUCAGUUUCCCCCCCACGCUGCGGUCCCCACCGUGAGCCGAGGCCUCUGGAGGAGUGGGCUCAGCAGACAGCCCGGGGUGGU